AACGAACGCUGGCGGCAUGCCUAACACAUGCAAGUCGAACGAGACCUUCGGGUCUAGUGGCGCACGGGUGCGUAACGCGUGGGAACCUGCCCUUAGGUUCGGAAUAACCCCCCGAAAGGGCUGCUAAUACUGGAUAAUGUCUUCGGACCAAAGAUUUAUCGCCUUUGGAUGGGCCCGCGUUGGAUUAGCUAGUUGGUAGGGUAAAAGCCUACCAAGGCGACGAUCCAUAGCUGGUCUGAGAGGAUGAUCAGCCACACUGGGACUGAGACACGGCCCAGACUCCUACGGGAGGCAGCAGUGGGGAAUAUUGGACAAUGGGCGAAAGCCUGAUCCAGCAAUGCCGCGUGAGUGAUGAAGGCCUUAGGGUUGUAAAGCUCUUUUACCCGGGAUGAUAAUGACAGUACCGGGAGAAUAAGCUCCGGCUAACUCCGUG
rnacentral:rRNA from 1 species